rnacentral:rRNA from 1 species
UACGUAGGGGGCUAGCGUUGUCCGGAAUCAUUGGGCGUAAAGAGCGUGUAGGCGGCCCGACAGGUCCGUUGUGAAAACUCGAGGCUCAACCUCGAGACGUCGAUGGAAACCGUCGGGCUAGAGUCCGGAAGAGGAGAGUGGAAUUCCUGGUGUAGCGGUGAAAUGCGCAGAUAUCAGGAGGAACACCCGUGGCGAAAGCGGCUCUCUGGGACGGUACUGACGCUGAGACGCGAAAGCGUGGGGAGCGAACAGG